UACGGAGGGUGCGAGCGUUGUCCGGAAUCACUGGGCGUAAAGGGCGCGUAGGCGGCGCGACAAGUCAAUGGUGAAAGCCCGAGGCUCAACUUCGGGUCGGCCACUGAUACUGUUGGGCUUGAGCACUGUAGAGGCAGGUGGAAUUCCGGGUGUAGCGGUGAAAUGCGCAGAUAUCAGGAGGAACACCGGUGGCGAAGGCGGGUCUCUGGGCCGAUACUGACGCUGAGGUGCGAAAGCGUGGGGAGCAAACAGG
rnacentral:rRNA from 1 species